rnacentral:rRNA from 1 species
AUUGAACGCUGGCGGCAGGCCUAACACAUGCAAGUCGAACGGUAACAGGAAGAAGCUUGCUUCUUUGCUGACGAGUGGCGGACGGGUGAGUAAUGUCUGGGAAACUGCCUUAUGGAGGGGGAUAACUACUGGAAACGGUAGCUAAUACCGCAUAACGUCGCAAGACCAAAGAGGGGGACCUUCGGGCCUCUUGCCAUCGGAUGUGCCCAGAUGGGAUUAGCUAGUAGGUGGGGUAACGGCUCACCUAGGCGACGAUCCCUAGCUGGUCUGAGAGGAUGACCAGCCACACUGGAACUGAGACACGGUCCAGACUCCUACGGGAGGCAGCAGUGGGGAAUAUUGCACAAUGGGCGCAAGCCUGAUGCAGCCAUGCCGCGUGUAUGAAGAAGGCCUUCGGGUUGUAAAGUACUUCCAGCGGGGAGGAAGGGAGUAAAGUUAAUACCUUUGCUCAUUGACGUUACCCGCAGAAGAAGCACCGGCUAACUCCGUG